CAUAAAGUGAUCUAGGGUUCCGACAGUCUGAUUUUAGCAGCAGCUGUGCCUGAGACCGAGAGUUCACGGUUCGCAAGAACUGCACGGAGGGAUAAAAGCCCGGGAGGU
rnacentral:sRNA from 2 species